rnacentral:rRNA from 1 species
CAAGGCUUGACAUAUACGAGAACGGGCCAGAAAUGGUCAACUCUUUGGACACUCGUAAACAGGUGGUGCAUGGUUGUCGUCAGCUCGUGUCGUGAGAUGUUGGGUUAAGUCCCGCAACGAGCGCAACCCUCGUUCUAUGUUGCCAGCACGUAAUGGUGGGAACUCAUGGGAUACUGCCGGGGUCAACUCGGAGGAAGGUGGGGAUGACGUCAAAUCAUCAUGCCCCUUAUGUCUUGGGCUUCACGCAUGCUACAAUGGCCGGUACAAAGGGCUGCAAUACCGCGAGGUGGAGCGAAUCCCAAAAAGCCGGUCCCAGUUCGGAUUGAGGUCUGCAACUCGACCUCAUGAAGUCGGAGUCGCUAGUAAUCGCAGAUCAGCAACGCUGCGGUGAAUACGUUCCC